ACAUUGGUGGUUCAGUGGUAGAAUACUCGCCUUUUAUGCAGGAGGCCCGAGUUCCAUCACGGGCCAAUGCA
rnacentral:tRNA from 1 species